GAGGAAGAUGAUAAUCUCCUCCCAUACCCCCUAUUCACCACAGAUAACAUCAAUGAUAAAUUCACUUUUCCUUUAACUUAAAGUGGUAAAAUUUCCCAAAGUGCAUCAUAUCAAUCAAUUCAGAUUAUAAUGGACGUUAACUCACAGAUGCAGACAUUCGGACAUACAACCUAAAAUUUGGUCGCAAAAUUAGAUUAUUUUAGUGGAUGUUACAGGCCAGAUAAAGAUGACAGUGGUUUCAAAGUAGAGAGAUCACAUGAUGUUUAAGGAAGCAAUUCCAGAACUUAAGUGUGGGCCAUUGACAGCACAGCUAUCAACAGUGUGAAAAAGUGGGAGAUGGGCAAAAUAGUCGUUCAUUGUGUACUUGGUAAAUUUGUAAAUCUGGAAGAAGUUAAGAGAUAAGGAUAGCAUAAACACAGAGAGGUCAGAAUAUAAGAGCGAGGAGUCACCACAGGUCAGUCAGCAUAAAAGUGAGAGAUUGAGAUCAAUCAUCCUGGGAAUUUGAAGCACAAAUUUUCAAAAGAAAAUAUAUUGAGGAAAACUUGGCAUUCUUGAUGAAUUAGACACCUGCAAUCCUAAUUUUGAAAGGAGUGGGGGAAUUACAUGGCCAUUGGUUCAGUUUCAGAUAGUAAUUAAGUAUCGACUUGUUAAUUAAGUCACACGUAACAUGUGAUUAUCUUUGGUACGAAUACAGAUGGAACAUAAUUAUACUAAGUAGUGUUAAUAAAUCAUGUAGAUUUUUCUGUGUCUGUAUAAUGACAUUGAUUGAUUAAUAGGUAUGUAAAUCAAAUAUAUUAUCCAAUACAUAAAUUUUCACAGUGCCCAUUUUUACAUUUGUCCUAUUGCAGGGUUAAUCCGUCAUUCCUGGAUCAAUCUGUUUGUCCGCGUCAGGCCACUUCAUAAUAAAAACAUGCAGAAGAAAUGGGAGAGGCAGGCAGGUUAUGUGUAGCAGAUUAUUGGAUCACCAUGACAUCAACAUUUAUUAUAAUAUUUAAUCAGAUGUGAUCAUUCCAAAUCAGAAAGAGAUAGGAUUAGCACUGUACUCUGAGAAAUGUGUUACUUGAUGGACAACUGAAGCCAAGCAAACCCUUCACAUUUGCAACUGAUUUUAACAAACUCUUCGGGCUCUGAUACACAAAUGGCUCAGUUAUGAAGGAUGAAAAUUAAUCUGG